UUAUUAUUAUACUUUAAGUUGUAGGGUACAUGUGCAUAACGUGCAGGUUUGUUACAUAUGUAUACUUGUGCCAUGUUGGUGUGCUGCACAUACAGACAUUUUUCAAUGCAGCCUGGCCAGUGUCAGGGGUGGGGGUCAGAGGAUGAAUAAUGCCUCCUGGGAAUGUCAGGAAAAUGUCACAGAGGAGGAGACCUGAGAGCUGGGUCUUGAAGAAUGAGUAGGAGUUUGCCAGGGAAAGAAUACAGGAGAGUAGGAUAGACAGAAAUAAACACAGAUAGAAUCACACUGUUCUGAAAGAGGCUGGCAUUCUUGGGGACCCUAAGAAGGCUCAUGUGGCAGAAGGGCAGGGUCACAGUUGAGGACAAGCAAGAGAUAAGGCUGGAGAGAGAAGCUGGGGAUAGAUGGAGAGGCUCACCUAUUCCCAGCCAAGACAUUUCAACAGACUCCCGUAGGAAUCACAGCCAGAAGAGAAUUUUCACCGGGGAUCAAAUUGGCUUUUUAGGAAGCUCACUUUGGCUGAGGCAAGGAGAGUUUCUCCUCUGAGUUCAUGGGCCAUCUCCUCUGUUAGUAUCGACACGUCCUCUCCUCAAUGUCUCUCUCUUUCUCUACAUUCUCUUCUCUCUCUCCCUCCCCCGCCCCAUGUUUUCAUAUCUGGAUAUCUCUUUUCUGCUUGUGGAUUUCUUUCCAUUUUUCUCUCAAGACAUCACUCCUUGAAAAUGUCCCUCAACCCUUUCCAUCUUACUUGUGCCCAAACAGCUUUGAUUCCAUCUUCAGGACUCAUUCAUCUCCACCAGGCUGGAGUCCUUCAUAAAGAAGUAACACAAGAUUUCCUCUUGAACAACAAGCUCUUCCGGGCUUCACCAGUUACAGAUGAGAAGCCUGGAGGAAGGGGAGUAUCUGAGCCACCCUCUACCUGGCCCAGAAAGAGUGAGCCACCACCCUCCAAGACCUGCAUGGAUCCAAUGAAGCAGAAACACCAUGCUCUCCUCUCAGGCAUCCUGAUGCCACUCACAAUGUGAAAGGGGCCAAUGGCUCAGAAGCCACUGCCCUUCCAGCCUCCUCCAGCAAAUCCUAAUGCCCAGUUCUCAUGCCGAUGACCUUCCACUCUGAAAUGCUUCCUGGCAUCCACCCAUCCUCCCAGGAGCUGGACAACCAGGUCAAGGAGAAAACAGCCCCUCUACCACGCUGAGCCAGGGACCCCUCUCCAGGACAAUUCUCUUCCCUGAGACAAGAGGGUCAAACUGCUCUUCUAGAUAUGACCUCAGAGAUGUGCAACCAGGGCCCUGGACCAAUUUAUCACCACGGGGCUAUAAUUAGGUUUGUUAACAUACAGUCUAGUGUAGUCUUGUUGACUAGGAACUUAAUCACGUUACUAUUGAGUUCCUGUACGCAUUGCUCGGGGUGACUGUUUUACUUGUAGAGUUAUAGCCAAGCCCAACGGGAGGAAAUUAGCUUUGGACACAAGUUUGGAGGGGGGUUCUUUUUCCUCUUGACUUUGUCUCUCUCUCUCCCCCCUUCCAUGUGAAAAUAUUUAGCAAACAGUGACAAUGAUGAAAAACAGUAGGAAACAAAAUGUUCUACAUUAGUAUAAAACAUGAAAAAUGCAGAAGGACCCUUAGCGGUACAACAUGUGUUAUGCUGGCUGGCAGUCCAUUAGCUCUGAUAGACAUUUCACUUACCUAAGUCAAAUAUAACAGUCGAGUAUUCAUUAAUAUAAGAAGGGGCUGUGGAAUCAGUGCUACCAUCUGGCUGGGCCGACAGAAUAAUCUACAACUCAUGAUUAGGUCUAAGGAGUGGGGUUUCAC
ensembl:lncRNA